AUAACUCUGCCUAGGAGCAGGAAGAAAGGUGACCCUGCAUCCCCUAAAAUUAGGGAGGGGAGAGGUCACGGAGGGGAAGGGAGGAAGGCAGAGACAGAAAUCUAUCUUUUGAACCCAGUGCUGAACCACGGAGCCCCAGACCCACCCCUUUUUAUUUUUUUGUCUUAAGACAGGGUGUCUCUAAGUUGCUUAGGGCCUUGCUAAAUUGCUGGCUUUGAACUUGGGAUCGUCCUGCCUCAGCCUCCAGAGGUGCUGGGAUCACAGGUGUGUGCCGCCACACCUGACAUCAAGUCUGUUUUAAAAACAACUUGCAGCGGAGAGCAGCAGGGCCUUCUUCAAAGCACAAAGUGGAUCACUCUUAUGGUGGGGGCCUCCUGAGAGAAGGGCAGUGGGGGCCCGGCAGGUGCAGAUCUGUGCGCCCCUCUGCAGAGGCCAGGCUUCCUUGUCUGUGGCUCCAGGUAACAGGACCCGGGGUCUGUCCUGAGCUAGCCUCUCCACUGGGCUGGAGAGCUCAGUCCCCUGAUGCCUCCUUGCUGUCCCCAGUGAGUGCCCUGGGGGAGGCAUAAGGGUCAAAGCCUGUGACUUUGACCACUGGCCAAUGAGAGCCCCCUAAUGCAGAGGUUCUCAUAGGGGUUCCAGCGGUGUGAGCAGCACCUGGGGUAACCUUGGACCACUGUCACACUUUGAAUACAGCCCCUUGCUGCUCUGCCACUGUGACUUGUUUUUUAAAUGGACAUGUUUCUUCCUCUCCCUCCUCCUUAAUCUCUCUCCUCCCUAAUCUCAGGGAAAACACAGUUAUCUGUCCCUGAGUCCACACCCACCAGGAACAAAGUAAUUCAGACUUGGAUGGCCCCAGAAGAUCCCAGAAGUGAC
rnacentral:lncRNA from 1 species